CCUACGUGAGGCAGCAGUGGGGGAUAUUGCACAAUGGGGGAAACCCUGAUGCAGCGACGCCGCGUGUGGGAAGACGGUCCUCUGGAUUGUAAACCACUGUCCCCAGGGACGAAGAUGACGGUACCUGGGGAGGAAGCUCCGGCUAACUACGUGCCAGCAGCCGCGGUAAAACGUAGGGAGCGAGCGUUGUCCGGAAUUACUGGGUGUAAAGGGAGCGUAGGCGGGACUGCAAGUUGGGUGUCAAAUCUACCGGCUCAACCGGUAGCCGCACUCAAAACUGCAGUUCUUGAGUGAAGUAGAGGCAGGCGGAAUUCCUAGUGUAGCGGUGAAAUGCGUAGAUAUUAGGAGGAACACCAGUGGCGAAGGCGGCCUGCUGGGCUUUUACUGACGCUGAGGCUCGAAAGUGUGGGGAGCAAACAGGAUUAGAUACCCUGGUAGUC
rnacentral:rRNA from 1 species